rnacentral:lncRNA from 1 species
UGGAGCUUUGGACUCAACUCUUGUCCAGAGUUGUUGAGUUAUACUUUGUGAAGGCUGUUGUAUCCUGGAGGGGACAAGUCAAAGAGGACUACUGCUGGACCGGUGAAAACAUUUGCUGCAGUGGACUUGAAUCUCCUUAAAGAGAGCGAGAUAUCCGCGCCUCAGCCUGAAGAGAUUUAUUUUCUUCAUUUUAUUUUCAAUUGUAAUCUUGUAUUUUUGUUAUCUUGUAA